ACACAAAUUUUAUUCCAUAGAAUUUAUUAAAAACGUAUGGAAUCAAAGUGCAAUGCUCUUGAAGUGCUUUUUUAUUAAGACGAUGUGCACAUGAAAAUUUAUUUUUUGUGGCUUGGAGUGUUUUAUGAUAAUGUUAUUUGUUGUUUUUUCAUUAAACCUUUUAAAGGCAAUGGUUUGUAAUUUGGAUUUUAACUUAUUGAUAUGUGAUUGUGAGUGUGUGUUAUUUAUUUAAACUUUUUGGAAGUAGAAAAAUAUUAGUAAGUUAAAAA